rnacentral:rRNA from 1 species
GACAGAGGGGGCAAGCGUUGCUCGGAAUCACUGGGCGUAAAGGGCGCGUAGGCGGGAUGGCAAGUCGGUCGUGAAAUCCUUCGGCUCAACCGAAGAACGUCGGCCGAUACUGCCGUUCUUGAGGGAUGCAGAGGAGAUUGGAAUUCCCGGUGUAGCGGUGAAAUGUGUAGAGAUCGGGAGGAACACCGGUGGCGAAGGCGGGUCUCUGGGCAGUUCCUGACACUGAGACACGAAGGCCAGGGGAGCAAACGGG